UAUUUGUGGUCAGGUACCUCGAUCUUGCACUGGUAUAGCUACCGUUGCCGAGUAUCAUUAACGGUCCUCGGUGUGGCUUUUUUUCCUAUGCACGGCCAUCAUUUGCUCUCGGAGCUGGGAAAGGUGGAGAGACUAAUCGUGGUUGAUAAUCAACCCACGUUUGACGACCCCAUCCAACAGCUCAUAAUCACCCAGACAAUAUUUAUCCCUUCCGUUAUCAUUCAUAAAACACUGCAAUAAAAUUCCUAAUUAUGACAGCGCCAAUCUAAGGCAUCAAUCUUCGAGUAAUAAUCUCCCAAUUCUAUUAUCCUCUUCCGUUACGAUUCGUCCCAUGAUCUUCUCUCCUUGCCUGGAUCCUCCAAUCUUUUUUAAGGAAAAAAAGCAAUUUGCUUUUAAGUCACAGUAAUAACUUCUCAGACGUUACGUGCAACACCAUUCCUACAUAAACCCUGGACGAGAUCAUCAUCUUGCCAUGUUUCAGUCGAAUCCUUUCUCAACAAUACCAGAGCAUACCCCAUCACUGUUUUACAAUGGGUUCCCAGAUUGCCAGCAGCCCUUCGAAAAGUUCCCAACCGCCUACAAAACUUUCUCCCAUAUUGGUGAGGCCGAAGAAGGCACAAAAUGUAUGACUCGCGUUCGAAUAUCAAUAAAGUGGAAUGAACUAGAUUUCAUGGCGACCAACGAGGUCACCAGCCUGGACGAUUUCAUGCUAGAUGACAACGUAAUUGUCCAAAGUAGUUCAUAAUCUGUCACCUAUGUGCUGUGAAUAUUCACUGAUUCCAUUCAUUUCCAGAGGUCGGUCAAUUACACAACUCUAUUAUCCCAAGUUGGUUGAUAAAACUGUUGUUAUUUUUUCCAAAUUUGUAUUGUUUUCCAUAAUCCUAAUCAUGAUCCACCUUUCUGUUUUUAUAUUUUGUUUUUGUAAAAACCAUUAUAAGACCUUGGAUCACAUUCCUCAAAUGGAUUAAUGGUAGGCAUGGAUGACUCGAGACCGGAUAUUAAAAAAGUAUAAUGAACUAGACUUCAAGGGGGAACAGCAAAGUCAUCAGCUUGGAUGUGUUGCCGAUGGAUGAUAAAUAUUUGUGGCAGGGAGACGAAAUUCACACGUUAGUUUCUAAGAACAUCAUAUGGAGAUUUGAACCCCUGCACUGCAUCAGUAACGUGGGAUAUAGAGGUUUAGCCUCUCGAUUGCGCUGUAGCUGAUUCCUCUCUAUGAAGUUUCACUGAAUUCGAAGAUCUCUAAUCGAGUUGAUAACACCUAUCUCACCGAUACUGUUUCGUGCAAGCCCAUAGUAGUGUUUGAAGGCACAUGUUUAGUUGUUCUUAUCCCUGAUAUCCAAGCAGUAGCAUACAACGGCACAAAGGAUUAUACAAUCAUACCUACAUUCCCUGCUGGACUGCGUGUAGAGGUAUUAUUUUGAAACAUUGAUUUAUUAUUUUAUUUUCUCAUUGAAAUCUCAUAAUACCUACAUUCCCUUACUUGCUGAAGCCUAGAUGCUACCGCAUUGAAUUUUACGGGUUCGUCUGCAUUGUAUGGGAUAUUGUCACAAUGUAUUGAAGUUGAUAUUGGUGGGUUUUGUUAUGAUUCUCUUUUGAUUUUUAUAAAGACAAUUAAUUUUAGUUUUAGGAGUAAACCUCUUUGACAUGAUGCACUUGAUGUGAUUCGGAAGAUAAAGACAAUGAAAAGGUACAUCACAUUUCGAAUGGUAUAGUUACUCGCAGAAGGCGCAUGUAACUACCAUUAUUUAGUUAUCUGUAAAAAAGUUUAGUGGUGAUUAACUGAUUGUCAGGCUAUUCCAGACAGAAAGCAUACUUUUUUUUUAAACCCGAGAAAAAAUGAAUUGUGUGGUAAUGAAUUGAUGAGCUGAAAGUAUUUUCUGAGAAGCUAGAGACUAAUUUGAAAACUGUUAGAAAGGAUUUAUUCAACCUGUUUGAGGACGACAGAGAAUCUGGAAAUGGGAUUUCAAGAUGUUGUCUGAGGGAAUGAGGUGAUUGAUAUUGUGUUAGUGAGGGUUAUCAUACAAGAAAACUGUGAAAUGCUUUCAGAGGGUCAGUGGAAAAGUAUGUAACAUAAGGGUUAAUUAGUAAUGAAUAUGCAUGUUGUCAUUUACUCUUUGAUUGUGUUGAAACAAUGAAGAUUGAAAUGGAAAUUAAAAUAAUGAACUUAAACAA